ACUCUCUUUGUUUUUUUGUGUUCCCUUUUCCUCCCAAUUCCAAAAGAAAAAACGAGAAUCACACAAUUCUCAUCUCCUCAAUUUUCUUGCAAAAAUAAGGAGGACUCCAAAUGGUGGUGCCCAAUUCCAAUUCCCAAUUGAUAAAUUCUAUCGUCAAAAGGUUUGUAAAAAUUUUCAUCCCUUCAAGAGCUACCUUGUGCCAUCCCUCGAUGAAAAGUUAGGUUGUACGAGUUGAGAUUUCCAUUUAUUAUUCUAAGUUGUUUGGGGCUUCUUUUGCAGAAUUAGUUGUAUUAGCUUUUUCUUACGUGUGUCUUUGUCCUUGGGUUUUCUCCCGUCUUUUUUGAUUGUUUUUUGUUUGUAUCUUGACUUCAGGUUGUGAGGUUCUCUUAUUGUUGUUGCAAUCUAAUACCUUCCGAAAAACAAAACAAAAAAGAAAAGAACAAAAUUGUGUGUAAAAGUAUCAAAAUACGAUGUAUGAAGAUUUAAAGGAAGAAAAGAUUUUUCCACAGUGUUUAGGAG